rnacentral:misc_RNA from 1 species
GAUGAAGAACGCAGCGAAAUGCGAUAAGUAAUGUGAAUUGCAGAUUUCAGUGAAUCAUCGAAUCUUUGAACGCACCUUGCGCCUUGUGGUAACACAAGGCAUGCCCGUUUGAGUAUCAUUAAAUCAUCAACUCUAAAAACUUUGUGUUUUUUUGAGCUUGGUCUUGAGGGUUUUUUGCAGGCGUUAUAGUCUGCUCCCUUUAAAUGCAUUAGCGAGACUUCCCUGUGCUGAACUGUCUCUUUGACGUGAUAAUUAUCUACGUUGAAUUUGGUUCUCGUUGGGCUUGCUUCUAACCGUCCAUGAUUUUGGACAAACUGGGGAUUUGGGUGCAUAUAUGCGCCCUUUUCUCCAAACCUUUUUUGAUCUCAAAUCGGGUAGGACUACCCGCUGAACUUAAGCAUAUCAAUAAGCGGAGGA